UAAUGUUGCAAACGCAAUUUUAAAGUCCUUGGCGCUACUAGCUUGCGGAACAGUAGAUGUCAAACAAUCCAUCAGUUUCGAUACCCCUUCAGCAUCAGUGAUAUUUGGGACAACAUUAGACAAACCACGUAACGCUAGCAUCACAUUGAUCGAUUCAAAAUUCCCACUAGAAGGCACAGAUUUCACAACUCGGCUAAAUACUUCUAAAAAUAUUGGAGCUAAAUCAGAAGAAGAAUUGAUUGCUAGUAACCUUAAAGCAUCUAACGCAGGAAACCUUUCUGCCAAAGACCAUGAAUCGAGGAUAGAUAAGCAAGUUUCCAAAAGCUCAUUUUUUUCUGUAUCUGUAAUUUUUUUUGAAGACAAAGCACGUUCUAAACUGUCGAUAGAUUUAGCAGGUAAAGGGUUUGACUUUGUAUUGUUUAAGGAACGUAAUCUUUGACACAUUGCCGGAACAUUAGCAUUAGAGAAAAGCAAUUGAGAAACUGGAAAUAUGGUCGUCUUAAUCUUGUUUGAAGAUUGGCUCUCUAGGUUCGGCUCCUUUUUCGAUUCCAAACUGU